rnacentral:rRNA from 1 species
AGUGAACGCUGGCGGCAGGCCUAAUACAUGCAAGUCGAACGGCAGCACAGCAGAGCUUGCUCUGUGGGUGGCGAGUGGCGGACGGGUGAGGAAUACAUGGGAAUCUGCCCAGUCGUGGGGGAUAACGUAUGGAAACGUACGCUAAUACCGCAUGCGCCCUACGGGGAAAGCCGGGGACCGCAAGGCCUGGCGCGAUUGGAUGAGCCCAUGUUCGAUUAGCUAGUUGGCGGGGUAAAGGCCCACCAAGGCGACGAUCGAUAGCUGGUCUGAGAGGAUGAUCAGCCACACUGGAACUGAGACACGGUCCAGACUCCUACGGGAGGCAGCAGUAGGGAAUAUUGGACAAUGGGGGCAACCCUGAUCCAGCCAUGCCGCGUGAGUGAAGAAGG